rnacentral:misc_RNA from 1 species
AGGUAGCUCAUCGAACUCAACAAAUGGAAGUUCAGUGCAAAAUGCUCCCAACUCAAAGUGGGGAUCUAGAAGAAAACCACAAUACUAUGUCAAGGAUGGUAAGAAUUAUAGUUACAAAGUUGCAGGGUCAGUUGCGGUUGCCAAUUCUGAUGAGGCAUCUUUAGUAACUCAAGCUCAGAAAGAACUCAUUUAUGGACUUGGACGCGGAGGCAACUUACCUCUCGGGGCAGUAAAAAAGCUGACAGAAUCUGAGCAGGAUAGCCAACCCGAUGUUUCUGAAGUAGAUCCAAGAGAUAAUGUACGGAAGUCUUGGGGCAGAGGAAGGAGGGAAAGGGAAAGUGGAACAGCUGCAGGCAUGCCUGAAGGGCAAGGUAAACAACCAAUUGUGGCUGAGGUUUCAGAGAGGGGAGGAAGAGGUGGCAACCGAGGCCGUGGAAGGAGAGGAGGGGGCGACCAUCACAGGAAGGAUAGAGCCAUGAAAAAGCAUUUUGCUGGAUUGUCUGGUUUCUAAGUCAAUAAGUCCGAUCAACCAAAUACAGAUUAAAAUGGAUCUGUUUGUUUUAUCGAAGACAACUUGCCGAGUGAUUGCACAGUACCGA